UACGUAGGGGGCAAGCGUUGUCCGGAUUUAUUGGGCGUAAAGAGCGUGUAGGCGGCCAGGUAGGUCUGCUGUGAAAACUCGAGGCUCAACCUCGAGAUGUCGGCGGAAACCAUCUGGCUAGAGUCCGGAAGAGGAGAAUGGAAUUCCCGGUGUAGCGGUGAAAUGCGCAGAUAUCGGGAAGAACCCCCGUGGCGAAGGCGGUUCUCUGGGACGGUACUGACGCUGAGACGCGAAAGCGUGGGGAGCGAACAGG
rnacentral:rRNA from 1 species